rnacentral:ncRNA from 1 species
GCCUGAGACCUGAUGCCGAGCCGAUUGUGGUGAAGUGGAUGAUCCUAUGCUGUCGAGAAAAGCCUCUAGCGAGUUUCAUGGCGGCCCGUACCCCAAACCGACUCAGGUGGUCAGGUAGAGAAUACCGAGGCGUUCGGGUGAACUAUGGUUAAGGAACUCGGCAAAAUGCCCCCGUAACUUCGGGAGAAGGGGGGCCAUUCCUGGUGACGGCACUUGCUGCCAGAGCUGGGGGUGGCCGCAGAGACCAGCGAGAAGCGACUGUUUACUAAAAACACAGGUCCGUGCGAAGCCGUAAGGCGAUGUAUACGGACUGACGCCUGCCCGGUGCUGGAACGUUAAGGGGACCGGUUAGCUCUGAUUCGUCGGGGCGAAGCUGAGAACUUAAGCGCCAGUAAACGGCGGUGGUAACUAUAACCAUCCUAAGGUAGCGAAAUUCCUUGUCGGGUAAGUUCCGACCUGCACGAAUGGCGUAACGACUUCUCGACUGUCUCAACCAUAGGCCCGGUGAAAUUGCAUUACGAGUAAAGAUGCUCGUUUCGCGCAGCAGGACGGAAAGACCCCGGGACCUUUACUAUAGCUUGAUAUUGGUGUUCGGUUCGGCUUGUGUAGGAUAGGUGGGAGACUUUGAAGCCGUGACGCCAGUCAUGGUGGAGUCGUCGUUGAAAUACCACUCUGGUCGUGCUGGAUGUCUAACCUGGGUCCGUGAUCCGGAUCAGGGACAGUGUCUGGUGGGUAGUUUAACUGGGGCGGUUGCCUCCUAAAGAGUAACGGAGGCGCCCAAAGGUUCCCUCAGCCUGGUUGGCAAUCAGGUGUUGAGUGUAAGUGCACAAGGGAGCUUGACUGUGAGACUGACGGGUCGAGCAGGGACGAAAGUCGGGACUAGUGAUCCGGCGGUGGCUUGUGGAAGCGCCGUCGCUCAACGGAUAAAAGGUACCCCGGGGAUAACAGGCUGAUCUUCCCCAAGAGUCCAUAUCGACGGGAUGGUUUGGCACCUCGAUGUCGGCUCGUCGCAUCCUGGGGCUGGAGUAGGUCCCAAGGGUUGGGCUGUUCGCCCAUUAAAGCGGUACGCGAGCUGGGUUUAGAACGUCGUGAGACAGUUCGGUCCCUAUCCGCUGUGCGCGUAGGAGUGUUGAGAAGGGCUGUCCCUAGUACGAGAGGACCGGGACGGACGAACCUCUGGUGUGCCAGUUGUCCUGCCAAGGGCAUGGCUGGUUGGCUACGUUCGGGAGGGAUAACCGCUGAAAGCAUCUAAGCGGGAAGCCUGCUUCGAGAUGAGCACUCCCACCUCCUUGAGAGGGUAAGGCUCCCAGUAGACGACUGGGUUGAUAGGCCGGAUAUGGAAGCCCUGUGAGGGGUGGAGUUGACCGGUACUAAUAGGCCGAGGGCUUGUCCUC